UGGGGAAUUUUGUACAAUGGGGGAAACCCUGAUCCAGCCAUCCCGCGUGUGCGAUGAAGGCCUUCGGGUUGUAAAGCACUUUUGGCAGGAAAGAAACGUCAUGGGUUAAUACCCCGUGAAACUGACGGUACCUGCAGAAUAAGCACCGGCUAACUACGUGCCGGCAGCCGCGGUAAUACGUAGGGUGCAAGCGUUAAUCGGAAUUACUGGGCGUAAAGCGUGCGCAGGCGGUUCGGGAAGAAAGAUGUGAAAUCCCAGAGCUCAACUUUGGAACUGCAUUUUUAACUACCGGGCUAGAGUGUGUCAGAGGGAGGUGGAAUUCCGCGUGUAGCAGUGAAAUGCGUAGAUAUGCGGAGGAACACCGAUGGCGAAGGCAGCCUCCUGGGAUAACACUGACGCUCAUGCACGAAAGCGUGGGGAGCAAACAGG
rnacentral:rRNA from 1 species